CUGAGCGCGGCCUGGCGGCCCCGGGCGCUAUCGGCGCGGAGCCGCCGGGCAACCAGCGGGAGCGAUUCCGGGGAGGCAGGCCCGGUCACCGGCAGCGACCCUGAGCGCCGCUGCUCCGAACGCCCGGCCCUCGCCCCGGACACAGGGGCGGAGGCGCCGCUUGUCCGCACCAGGCGACAUGGCGGCGGGAGGGUGUCCCCCGGCAGGACGGAGCACGUCUGGCCGGGCUGGUGUUCCGGGGGCAAAGGGACCCUUGUGGGCCUGAGAGUGCCAAAAUAAUGGUUCUGACUGAAAGGCCCCAAAGCGCGGACAGUGUGCGAACGUUUCUGUGUAUUUUACAGAUCAGAGCACGGGGAAAACUCGGAGUGAUGCUCGGAGUGGGUGGAGUGCAGUCCACAGAGGUCGUCCCCCAUCCCCCGUGGAUUCUGCUCUGCCUCUCUCCGGCUGCGGAACCUUCGUGCUGUAGUGCCGAGCAGUAAAGAUGCUGAUGCCGUAAAGAUGCUGAAAAUGAGUUUGUAACCCGGGGGUUGUUCUGGAGGGAAUUGCAACAGCAUUGUGUCAGGAAAGAGGAUGCGGGGGCGUGUCAAAGCGUGUAUUUUACAGUCCAUAAAAAGUAGAAGGAAGGCUUAUUAGUGUUAAAUUGUUACUAAAUGAACAGACCAAAGGCUGAACGUUAACAUGAAGGGAAAGUUUCUCACUGCUGAGAAGCAGAAAUUCAUUACUCCUGGACCCUCAUUGUUACAUUCACAAAGCUCAUCAUCGGCCGCAGGGCUGUAGAUACCUGUGUAAAAUAAAAGAAGCCCAGGUGCUCGAUGGCAGCGCUGAUGACUUCCUCCUCAUCCUCUCUGCAUGUUGAGUUGUUGUCUUUAAUGCAUCACUUCAUUCACUGUGAGUAUCAGAAAAACAGUGGCUGAGUGCAAAGUCCUUCCAAAGACUCUGUUGAUAAUUAAGCUUUACAAAAGCCUGAAUUGUGAGUGUGCAUCUUAACAAAGCAACUGAGCUCCUUGGUUACUUGAAUUCCCACCACAGGCAGGAGUGUAGGUGUCUGCACUUUUUUUGCACACAUGUAUCCUCUUGAAGGACAACACGCCUAAAAGUCCUAAUUCCAUCAUCAACAUCUCCUGAAAAGAAUGCACAAACCCACAAAUAUUAGUUAAAUGUGGAUUGGAGCAUUCAAAAGUUAGUAAGUUAGUUGAAAAGCAGAAUAAAUAAAUAAUAUUUUUCUCUUUAGCAACUGUGUCAUCUUUCCUGCCACACUCAAGCUGUAGCAUAUUUUUUAUGUAAAGUUUAGCAGCUAAGAAUAAAGUCCUGAUCCUUAGUGGAAAAAAUAGUAGAAUUCCUAAGUAAGAUGCGUUAGUACUAGUUUUUAUAUCUUUUUAAAUAUCAGUUUUCAGUCUCCAGUUUUUUUACAGGCUGGGAAAUAAAAGCAGAGCCAGUGAGCUGCACUGCCAGGUAAGAGUUGGAACCCAAACCAUGCUUCCCAUUACCAAAUUCCCCAAGGUUCCAUUGUUCUAGUAUUUGAGGGUUAUAGAAAAUAACUGCCUGGUUUCUCUCCAUGCCUGUAAAUGAUUAUAGGCCUCACAUUUCUAACCUCUCCUAAUUCUGCCAGUAACAGCAGUACAGCCUCCAUGUAGUUACCCAGUUGUUCACAUCUGUAACUUCUUUAAUCUUUGUCCAAAUUCCAGUUCCUGCCACAGAAUGCAUCAGGCAGCAAGAUAAGACUCAGGGAAAUGUAACCCUUGCCCCAAAUAACCUGUCAUGAACUGUAAUGUUUUAUCACAAGAACUGUACUUUGCACAGUUGUGUAAAAGAGCAAUCAUCUGCUUGCCAAACCUGCAGCUCUCCCACGCUCUGUGGUGCUGACAGCAGGAUUCCCAGGUUUUGCCUGUGGGAUUCCUGCUGCCUGCUGAUUCUUUCCAAAGCCAUGGCUCUUGGGUAGCAGCACCAAGGCAGCAUUGUUGGGUUUGUGCCCUGCACAGAUCCAUGCUUGGGACAGCGAGGCAGAGGAGGCUGCAAGGUUCCCUCAAGUGCAGGCUGUGGGGGCAUACAGCAGCAGAGCAAGAAGGAAGAACAGCAGAUACAGCCAAAAAAUUCCAUGCUUAAAAUAAUUCAGUCUAAUGCUGGUUAUAACCUCCCUUUUAGUGUAUGCACAUGUGCAGGUUUUAGUCAUGUGGAUUACCCCCUGAGAAACCUUUGUUCUUCUCAAAUUUCUCAUGACUCCAGUGUGCUUUAAUCUUCUUUUUCAUCAGAGCUGUGUAAUUCUGUGGCACUCCACCAAGGAAAAGGCUUUAACUAUGUCAUGAAAGAGUUGUUCAAAAUCCCAAGUAGAAACCUGUGUAUUACUACAUGUAACAGAAGAUUGAAUUUAUUAAUAAGCCUAAACAUGUUCCAGGCAUCUUGAGUGAAAAAUGCUGUUAGCUAGCUCAGCAAAUAUUAGUGGGACUGAACUGCCAAUUUGCAAAUAGACUGGCUAUAUCAAGAAAGAUAACAUUGGCCUUCCAUUUAAUAGUUCAGGUAUUUGAAUAAUUUUACAUUCCAUUUUUAUCUUUCUUUGGCAGCUUGUAUUUCUGGAGAGAGCUUCAGGUACUGAGAAAUGGGUGGAAUAUAAGCUGAAUAGGUCUGCAUUUUCCCAGUGAGAAACUGAGUUAUGUGAGGGAACAGCUCCUGGCUGCUGUCUCCCUGCUGCUUCCACAUGGUGCAUAAACAGCACUGUUGGAAGUAGCUAUAGAUCAUGGGCUGCAGGGUCUUUGGUGGUCUCACCACACUUGUUUCUCAGCCUUUGUUGCUGAAGGAUUCAGUCCUAAAUGACCCAGGAGGUUGUUGAGACAUAAAGGAUAGAUUCUCAGAGACAAAGAUGCUACAACUAAACAGGCAUGUGCAGCUCUCAAGGGAUGGCUAAGUGCUUUGGAAACACCUCAGUAGAUACUACUGGACAUUUUAGGCCUCUAAACAUACUUAAAAGGUAGCUUUCUCUUGGAGUGCUUUUUGUUCACCUUAUCACAUUAUUGCUCAAUCCUUUGAGCCAGGCUAUGUAAUUACUGUCAGGCUGCAGAUGGCUAUUAGGAGAAGCCUGCAGGACACAUAACAAAGAAUUAAAGUGUCUGCAGCAAAGCUCCACAGGUAAAGUUACACGUUUGGGCUUGAGCUUUUCUGACAGCUCAUUUCCACUUAAAGAGGUUCUGUGCCCUUCUCCCUGUCCUCCUUUUUUGCCUUGGCCUACGUCCCCUUACAUGCACUGGCUUGUGUUUUCUGACCCUGCACCAAGCCAAUUCUAAUUACUGGAAUUAGGAAGAAUAUUAAACUGGAAAAAAGGUGAAUCAUUUGUGAUAGCAUAUGGAGUUGACUCAAAGCAUGAAUGUACUGAUGAGCACAGAGAUAAUGCAAAGGAUGUGACUGGAUCUGGGUCUAGGGAAGGGAAGUGGAGAAAAAUGAAGCAAGAGCUUUACAGCAAUGGAAAUGUGGUUAAUGUUCUUUGUGGUGAAGUGCCAUUACUCCUGAAUAACAGAUGGCCAAAUUCUGUUAAUGCACAGUCCAGCAUCAUCCUGCAUAUAUAUGUUAUCCUUGUCCUUAUGGUUUUGCCUUUCACAGCGUGAAUCUCAGUGGAUAAAGCUGGGACUGCAGUGUGGCCGAUCAAUGAAACACCAGCAACAAGGUUUUCCUCUGAGAGAGGGUGGUCAAUAGUAGUGGCACAUUUUAAGCUUGCCCCUCAGCUCUCUCCAGGUGAUAAUGUCUUGCCAGCUCCAUGGGCUGAAGGUGGCACCUGUUAUUCCUAAAUGACUUUAAUUCCUCAUUUGGAUUGACAGAUCCAAUUUACCAUCAACUCUGCCACUUCCCUACCAAAACUGGCAGGAAAUAUACUGAUACAGAAAAAAGGACAAUUACAGCAAGAAGUAUUUUCUCUUCUGUCUGGCGACUUGGUUUAUUUUAAUCUUCUGCACUAUCAAUUAUUUCCAAAACCCUCAAGUGGAAAAUGCAGAUGUAAACAGAAUUAUGGGACUCCAUAGAGCACAGCUUGCACAGUUUCAGGAGAAAAAGUAGUUUCAGGAAUUGAACUCAGGACAACUAAAUAUUCUGAUCUUGUUGAAACCAAUAUAUCUCUUUCAUCACUUUCUUUAUCACCGACUAGAAAAAUAUACAUUAAUUCCUGGAAAAGCUUACAAAAACCAAAAAGGAUGACCAUCUGAGAUGAACAGUGGGAUUUUCUACACGACUUCUGAAGACUGUCUCUAUAUAAGAAAGGAAAUUUAAUGAGGCAAAGCUGAAGUGUGUGCUCACCAGCAGUGGUUGUGCCACUCACCGUGGGUGUCAAGCUGCGAGACAGAACAUGUCCCUUGUCAGGGCUUCAACUAGAUGGUAUUUAGAGGUCAUGAGAAGAAACAUGCUGAAGAAGUACAGCUGAGGUGAGGAGAAAGUCAUAAAGAGCUUUAGGAGAGGUUAUUGUGUUGGGCAGGUAUGAAAAUAAAACAUGAGUUCGCAAUAAUCCAGGCUUCACCACUUUUACUGUUUGUGGAAUUAAAUGAUUAUUCCCAGGAACUCACCACAGCUCUGUGUGCUGUGACUGCUCAGAUAAAACAACUUCUAAAAUAACCCUUUCAGUAUUUAGAGGUCAAGCCCAACCUCCGAUCAGCUUAUGAUGCAAUUUAGUAAUUUUCCAUUUCCAAACUGAUACUUUUCAAACACAUGCUUUUGAUGAUUUUUCCAAGAAGCACUCUCUCUUCUCUGAAAAAGUCAUUGUAAAUUUCUCUCUUCUCUGAAAAAGUCAUUGUAAACACCUCAUGGCCACCUAAUUAUUUUCUCUGAAAGUCCUCAGGCCCGUUAAACUCUUGUUGAUGGUCGAGUAGUUGCUAUCCUGAAACUGCUGCCUCAGAAUGAUUGUUUCUGUUUGCUGUUACUUUCUACCUCAUGGCUCCCAGUCCAAGGCUUCUGUUCAGACCUUUUCUUUGUUGAGCACAAUGAAAGUCUUAGUCAAUACAUCUCCCUGUGUCUAUAAAAUUUAUGGUAAUGCAAGUAAAUAAA